GACGAACGCUGGCGGCGUGCUUAACACAUGCAAGUCGAACGAUGAAGCUGGAGCUUGCUCUGGCGGAUUAGUGGCGAACGGGUGAGUAACACGUGAGAAAUCUGCCCUUGACUCUGGGAUAACUGCGGGAAACUGUAGCUAAUACCGGAUACUUUCCCUGGUGGGCAUCCACUGGGGAAGAAAGAAUUUCGGUCAAGGAUGAUCUCGCGGCCUAUCAGCUUGUUGGUGAGGUAAUGGCUCACCAAGGCGACGACGGGUAGCCGGCCUGAGAGGGUGGCCGGCCACACUGGGACUGAGACACGGCCCAGACUCCUACGGGAGGCAGCAGUGGGGAAUAUUGCGCAAUGGGCGCAAGCCUGAUGCAGCAACGCCGCGUGAGGGAUGAAGGCCUUCGGGUUGUAAACCUCUUUUAGCAGGGAAGAAGCGAAAGUGACGGUACCUGCAGAAAAAGCACCGGCUAACUACGUGCCAGCAGCCGCAGUAA
rnacentral:rRNA from 1 species